UUUCCUGUAUCUGUUGAAUAUACUAAAACUGGAACAAUAGAGAAGACUAGCACAGCCUCUGCACAUGGAUGACACCUGAACUUUUGACUCGUUCUAUAUAUAU
rnacentral:snRNA from 1 species